AUGCCAAGCCGAUGUUUUCCCACUUUUCGGCUUGGGCCACAUCCAUUUCUGGGCCUGUUGAGCUGGCCACGGCCCCCUGGGCUGGGGGUGACAAGCUGGCUAUUCGGAGGAUGCCCCAGACACCACCCCUCCCCUCCUUCUCGCUCUUUCCCUCUCUCUGUUUCCCUUUGCAUUUCUCUCUAUAUAUCUGUUUCUCUCCUUACUUUGUUCUCUCUUUACCUUGUUUUCUCUCCCUCUCUGUUUUUCUCCUCUCUCUGUAUUUCUCCCCCCCGCCUUUCUGUUUCUACCUCAUUCUAUCUCUUCUUCUCUCUCCAUUUCUCUCUACCUCAUUCUCUCUGUUUCUCUCUCUACCUCAUUCUUUCUCUCUGCUUCUCUCCCUUUCCCCCUCCAUCUCUUUGUUUCUUUCCCUCAGUCACUGUUUCUCUCCACGUCAUUCUUUCUUCCUCUCUCCGCUUCUCGCCUUCUCCCUGUCUCUGUCUCCCUCCCUCCCUCUCCCUAUCUCUCUCCCUCUCUUUGUCUCUCUCCCUCACUCACUCUGUUUCUCUCCCCAUCUCUCUCUCCCUCUGUUUCUCUCUACCUCAUUCUUUCUCCCUCUCUCUGCUUCUCUCCCUCUCCAUCUUUCCCUCCCUCUCUCUGUUUCUCUCCCUCUCUCCUGUUUCUCUCUACCUCCUUCUCCCUUUUCUCUCUCCCUCAUUCUCUCUCUACCUUAUUCUUUCUCCUUCUCUGCUCUUCUCCCUCUCCCUGUCUGUCUCUCUCUCUCUCCUUCCCUCUCUCUGUUUCUCUCCGUCCCUGUCUCUGUUUCUCUCUCCCUCUCUCUCUCUGUGUCUCCCUCUGUCUCUCCGUCUCUCUCCCCCACUCGUCUUUCUCCUCCUCUCUCUGGGUCAGCCAUCCGGAGUCUCCAUUUGCCACCGGCCAGGAGCAAGGGCAUCGCCCAGAGACAGGCUACCGGUAGGCCCCAGAAGUGCACGGAGAGGACCACUACCCCCAACUCGUUCAACCUGGGGAACCCAAACAGGCCGGCUGGACCCCACUGUAAUAAUAAUAAUGUUGGUAUUUGUUAAGCGCUUACUAUGUGCAGAGCACUGUUCUAAGUGCUGA
rnacentral:lncRNA from 1 species